CUGAUUUGCCAAAAACUGUCCUUGUUUUAGCACUGAAAGUCACACGUUUCUGGAAACUACCUUAGUCCUGGGCAAACCUGGAAGGUUAGUCACCCCUGAUCAACAUUCACCUGACUCUAAUUUGUUUUUUUAAAAUUUGGCCUAUGUAUAGAAAUACACACACAGGCUAUUUGUUUUCAAACUUAUGAUGAGUUAUUGGCCUUUUGGAUUUUAUCUCCUUUCUUUACUUUCUUCUAGCAGAUUUGGUUUAUGAUGAACAGAUCAAGAUGUUGAAAGAUUUGGAUUGGUCACGGACGUUACAUUCCAUUUCUGGAUCCAUUUCACCAGCUACACCUGCAAGUCACAUUGACUAGCAAACGGCAAAACCAAAAGUGAAAUUCUAUGGCCCAUCAAGAACCUGACACCAGACACUGAUGGCAUUCUCCUAAUAAAUAAACUACCCCAGGGAUUACUGGCUUCAUGUCCAUCUUCCCUCCUAGACAGUAAACUCCAUGAGGACAGGGGGCCGUAUUUGUUUUGUCAACGCUUUCUGUGUGACACCCAGCAUACUUCUGGCUUAUAGUAGAUGCACAAUCAACAUCGUGUGACUCCAAAUACACAGCCAGGUUCGCGAGACGCUAACCUAGUCCAGCUCUUCUCCAAAUUCUGCAGAGGUAGAGACAGGGAUUCGCUGGCUUUUCAGGAACAGUGGCUCGACAGCGUAGGAGGCUCAGAGCGUCUACAACCCCUUCUUCAGUCACGGGAAGCCCUUUUGAGAGACUCUGGGUGUCCAGGUAUCGCCUGCCUCUGUGUAGGAAUAUCCUCCUCUUGUAGGGUGCGUCUCCUUUCCACUCCUAGGGGCAGACCCGGCAGUGGGGAGACCCACCCCAACGUGUUCUUCUGGAGGCCAAGAGGCAGGUCUCAGAACGCCUUGGUGGUUCGGCCAACCAAAUCUGAGGACACCAACACUAAUUUCUAGGCAGGAGUGCUUUCAGAGAAAAUAAUUUUACCCAAGGAUCGUUUGUGUAGUACAAUCAUAUUCGCCUUCACAGCACUUUUGGAUUCAACUUAAAAACCCCUUUUAAAAGCCAGUGUGACACAAAAGGAGCUUGGUUGAUUCUGUCACUUUAUUAUUCAUUCAUAUAUUCAUGUAUUCAUUCAACAAACAUUAAUACAGCCUCAACUACAUGUAAGGCACUGGGCUAGGAGCCCCAUUAAAUGUGUUAGUUUUCUCUCUCCAAUCACUGUAGUACAACUAGGAGGGUUGAAAUAUACUGUUUUGUAGUAAACGCUUUGGGUGGUUACAUCUUUGGAACCUUGAAUCCUGCGUGUGUGACUGUAAGAAUCGGUUCCUUUCUUGUAGAAACAUUCGAGCUAAGCUUAGUCGUAGAAAUACGUAUCCCUCUGUGUUGGACAUGACUCUUCACCACCUCAAUUGAUGUGAGUGUGCCUUAGCUACAUAUCAAGUCACACGAACUCACAAACAUGCCCAGUAUCUCCCAUAACAUCUAAUAUUUUAAAUGUACUUUCGUUGUCUCUUUGCUGUCUGAGGUUUCUUAGAUCCUGAUGACAAUUGUAUUAACAAAAUUUUGUGUCUAUUCUGCUCUGCUCAUCGGAGUAUGGGCACUGAUGUAAAGAAGAAAAGAAAAUGCCAACUUCCAGAAGGUUUUAAAUGAGAUAUUUUUGCUGAGGACACUUCCAGCAAAGACCAAUUUUCCCUGACCUUGUCACCCAGCUGGCCUCCUGAGAGGGCCACUUGGACUCCAGCGGCUGAUUCAUUACAGAUUCAAGUCCAGGUGGAGAAUACACUUGAGCAAGAGCUUAAAGCUCGUUAUAGUCUCACCUGCCAGGAAAAGUCCCUGCCGCUCAAGGUCUAUUAGAAAGGAUACAGCUUACCCGUAACUAUCUAGCUUUGGGCUGAAAUCGCACAAACGAGUUUCUAGUCCAUUAGUACCUUAAAAUCAGAAAACUCAAUUAGGUACUUCUAAAUUAAAUGACUGUUAAUUGGCAGAGAAUUGAAUUUUGAUGUUUUAAAACUUCUCGCCAAAAGCUUGAGACAUUUUAGUGUUUUAAAAUAUAGUGAAAAUAUAGUGAAGCAAUUAGAGUAAGAAAUCUGAGAAGUCAAUUCAAAUCGGGCUUCCUGCCACCUCCCUCCCGCCUCCCUGACUGUAGAUGUUUCUUAAGUACUCUGCACUUGAGUUCUUCUAUGUGGAAAACUGUAAGGACAUUCACCUUUGCCCAGAAGGUGUCAGGGUGCCCAUUUAGUGACUUGAAUCCUCCUUUCAAGUUCCAGAAUGCACUCUUCGAAGGAAGCAGGCCAGCGUCAACCGCCCCACCCCCAGGUCCCCUGUGGUAGUUGAGCCCAGGCCCAGCCAACCUCUCAGAGAACGGGGAGUCUUCAUGCAACUCCUUCUCCGCCCGUCUGGAACGAGAAAGAGAUUUUUCCUUUGGAUGAUUCCCAGCAGAGAGGGGUUUGUGCCUCAGAGAGAAUGAGGUUUAAUAGUUUUACCAACCCCGGUUAGAAAUUUAGUUCCCACUUUCCAGAUGUGUGGACAGUCUUCUCGUCUGUGAAGCUAUUGCCGUUCAUGAGGAACGAGCGAGACAGCAGAUGUCGAGCACACACACAGGGCACAGUAGAUGGUGGCUGCAACAGAGAGCACCCAGCGAAUGAGUCCAGCCCCGUGACAUCCACUGGCCGGCCUGGCGGGGCUGCCUGCCAGCCUUGGGGAAGCCUCCUAACCUGGGAAGGUCAAGUUCACGCAGGCAGGGGGCUUUCUCUGGUCUCCAUGCAGAGAAGCAAGAAAAGUGCUGUGGAUUGGGGAAAUAGACUCAGACACUGCUUUGGGGAAGAUGCUCAGGAAUGAAUGGUCUCUUCAUAUCCCAGCAACGUAAUGUCAGGAUUUCCCGACCAGUAACAUGGCUUCCUUUUCCUAAAUAGUUUUCAUAAUGAUUUCUAAUAGGAAUUUGCGUAUUUAAUGGGAACACAAUAUGCAAUUCUGUGUUUCUUAUUAAUACUCUGAGGAGCAAUAAUAGUCAAAGCUCCAAAAGCUUAUGAAGACUAAUACCCAAAUGUGGUUAAAUGUAUUAAAAAGCCUUAGUGAAAAAUGUGCACUAUUGAUCCCACUCACAGUCUUGGCUUUCACGAAGGGUCCAUUAAAGCACAGCAUGUGAUCAACGCAAAUUAAUCCCCAAUGUGUGGCUUUCCUCCGUCUUAAAAUGAAAUGGCAUGAAACUAAAGCUGAAAUAUUCUGGAAAUUGCUGAAUAAUUAUAACCUUUUUUCUUCUUUCCGUGUUUUAUGUAAUUUACUUAUCAAGGGUUUUCAAUAUUGAGUGUCUCUCAUGCAAACAACAGUUUCCAAAGUGGUUAAUAAAGAUAUAAUAAAAUAGACUUUUUUGGUCUAU
rnacentral:lncRNA from 1 species